CCCUUAGAUGUUCUGGGCGGCCCGCGCACUACAUUGGCACUCUCAAUAAGUUCCUAGAUCUAAAACUUUGGGGUAUUCUAUUAAGUGGUGUCGUGACUGGGAUUAACCCCUGCAAUUAUUGGUUACGAACGAGGAAUUCCUUGUAAUCGCGGUUUAUCAGCCCGCGUUGAAUGCGUCCCUGCCCUUUGUACACACCGCCCGUCGCUCCUACCGAUGAAUCGUCCGGUGAAGUUCAUGGAGUGGUGGUUGUUCCAGCUGCUGUCGAAGUGAAAUGGACCUCACGAUUUAGAGGAAGGAGAAGUCGUAACA
rnacentral:rRNA from 1 species